rnacentral:rRNA from 1 species
CACGUAGGGUGCGAGCGUUGUCCGGAAUUAUUGGGCGUAAAGAGCUCGUAGGCGGUGUGUCGCGUCGGCCGUGAAAACCUGCAGCUUAACUGUGGGCUUGCGGUCGAUACGGGCAUCACUGGAGUUCGGCAGGGGAGACUGGAACUCCUGGUGUAGCGGUGAAAUGCGCAGAUAUCAGGAGGAACACCGGUGGCGAAGGCAGCUCUCUGGGACGGUACUGACGCUGAGACGCGAAAGCGUGGGGAGCGAACAGG